rnacentral:rRNA from 1 species
GAUGCGGGUGGUUCGCCGCUCGUGACUCUGCGAGAAGUCCAUUGAACCUUAUCAUUUAGAGGAAGGAGAAGUCGUAACAAGGUUUCCGUAGGUGAACCUGCGGAAGGAUCAUUGUCGAGACCGAAACAUAUCGAGCGAUUCGGAGAACCUGUGAACGAGCGGUGGCGCCAGCCGUCGCGCAAUUGCCGUCUCCGUCGUCGGCCUCAUAAAGGGUGCCACGAUGAGAGGUGGACGAAAACUCAAACCGGCGCAGCUACGCGCCAAGGGAAAAAAAAUAAAACACGAGCCUGUAUCGGGUUCGGUGGCGUGGAGUGCAGUCGCACCCCACACGGAUAAAACGACUCUCGGCAAUGGAUAUCUCGGCUCUCGCAUCGAUGAAGAGCGCAGCGAAAUGCGAUACGUGGUGCGAAUUGCAGAAUCCCGCGAACCAUCGAGAAUUUGAACGCAAGUUGCGCCCGAGGCCAUCCGGCCAAGGGCACGUCCGCCUGGGCGUCAAGCGUUACGUCGCUCCGUGCCAUCUCCAUCCCACCCUCAGGGUGCGUAUGCGGGAGGGUCGGAUGUGCAGAGUGGCUCGUCGUGCUCGCCCCGCGGGCAUGGCGGGCUUAAGAGCGGGUGAUCGUCUCGUUGGCCACGAAUAACAAGGGGUGGAGUGAAAAUUGUGCCUGUGUUGUAUCGUGCCGGCCUGAGAAGAGAUUAUACCUAGCGAAUGAUCCCAGCCCAAGCGUCAGUCCACGGACAUCGGCUUGGAAUGCGACCCCAGGAUGGGCGAGGCCACCCGCUGAGUUUAAGCAUAUCAAUAAGCGGAGGAGAAGAAACUUA